rnacentral:rRNA from 2 species
UUAAGCGACUAAGCGUACACGGUGGAUGCCCUGGCAGUCAGAGGCGAUGAAGGACGUGCUAAUCUGCGAAAAGCGUCGGUAAGGUGAUAUGAACCGUUAUAACCGGCGAUGUCCGAAUGGGGAAACCCAGUGCAAUUCGUUGCACUAUCGUUAACUGAAUACAUAGGUUAACGAGGCGAACCGGGGGAACUGAAACAUCUAAGUACCCCGAGGAAAAGAAAUCAACCGAGAUUCCCCCAGUAGCGGCGAGCGAACGGGGAGCAGCCCAGAGUCUGAAUCAGCUUGUGUGUUAGUGGAACGGUCUGGAAAGUCCGACGGUACAGGGUGAUAGUCCCGUACACCAAAAUGCACAGGUUGUGAACUCGAAGAGUAGGGCGGGACACGUGGUAUCCUGUCUGAAUAUGGGGGGACCAUCCUCCAAGGCUAAAUACUCCUGACUGACCGAUAGUGAACCAGUACCGUGAGGGAAAGGCGAAAAGAACCCCGGCGAGGGGAGUGAAAAAGAACCUGAAACCGUGUACGUACAAGCAGUGGGAGCACCUUCGGGUGUGACUGCGUACCUUUUGUAUAAUGGGUCAGCGACUUAUAUUCUGUAGCAAGGUUAACCGUAUAGGGGAGCCGCAGGGAAACCGAGUCUUAACUGGGCGUUAAGUUGCAGGGUAUAGACCCGAAACCCGGUGAUCUAGCCAUGGGCAGGUUGAAGGUUGGGUAACACUAACUGGAGGACCGAACCGACUAAUGUUGAAAAAUUAGCGGAUGACUUGUGGCUGGGGGUGAAAGGCCAAUCAAACCGGGAGAUAGCUGGUUCUCCCCGAAAGCUAUUUAGGUAGCGCCUCGUGAACUCAUCUUCGGGGGUAGAGCACUGUUUCGGCUAGGGGGUCAUCCCGACUUACCAACCCGAUGCAAACUACGAAUACCGAAGAAUGUUAUCACGGGAGACACACGGCGGGUGCUAACGUCCGUCGUGAAGAGGGAAACAACCCAGACCGCCAGCUAAGGUCCCAAAGUCAUGGUUAAGUGGGAAACGAUGUGGGAAGGCACAGACAGCCAGGAUGUUGGCUUAGAAGCAGCCAUCAUUUAAAGAAAGCGUAAUAGCUCACUGGUCGAGUCGGCCUGCGCGGAAGAUGUAACGGGGCUAAACCAUGCACCGAAGCUGCGGCAGCGACACUAUGUGUUGUUGGGUAGGGGAGCGUUCUGUAAGCCUGCGAAGGUGUGCUGUGAGGCAUGCUGGAGGUAUCAGAAGUGCGAAUGCUGACAUAAGUAACGAUAAAGCGGGUGAAAAGCCCGCUCGCCGGAAGACCAAGGGUUCCUGUCCAACGUUAAUCGGGGCAGGGUGAGUCGACCCCUAAGGCGAGGCCGAAAGGCGUAGUCGAUGGGAAACAGGUUAAUAUUCCUGUACUUGGUGUUACUGCGAAGGGGGGACGGAGAAGGCUAUGUUAGCCGGGCGACGGUUGUCCCGGUUUAAGCAUGUAGGCUGGUUGUCCAGGCAAAUCCGGAUAAUCAAGGCUGAGGUGUGAUGACGAGGCACUACGGUGCUGAAGUAACAAAUGCCCUGCUUCCAGGAAAAGCCUCUAAGCAUCAGGUAACAUCAAAUCGUACCCCAAACCGACACAGGUGGUCAGGUAGAGAAUACCAAGGCGCUUGAGAGAACUCGGGUGAAGGAACUAGGCAAAAUGGUGCCGUAACUUCGGGAGAAGGCACGCUGGUGUGUAGGUGAAGUCCCUGCGGAUGGAGCUGAGACCAGUCGAAGAUACCAGCUGGCUGCAACUGUUUAUUAAAAACACAGCACUGUGCAAACACGAAAGUGGACGUAUACGGUGUGACGCCUGCCCGGUGCCGGAAGGUUAAUUGAUGGGGUUAUCCGUAAGGAGAAGCUCUUGAUCGAAGCCCCGGUAAACGGCGGCCGUAACUAUAACGGUCCUAAGGUAGCGAAAUUCCUUGUCGGGUAAGUUCCGACCUGCACGAAUGGCGUAAUGAUGGCCAGGCUGUCUCCACCCGAGACUCAGUGAAAUUGAACUCGCUGUGAAGAUGCAGUGUACCCGCGGCAAGACGGAAAGACCCCGUGAACCUUUACUAUAGCUUGACACUGAACAUUGAGCCUUGAUGUGUAGGAUAGGUGGGAGGCUUUGAAGCGUGGACGCCAGUCUGCGUGGAGCCAACCUUGAAAUACCACCCUUUAAUGUUUGAUGUUCUAACGUUGGCCCCUUACCGGGGUUGCGGACAGUGUCUGGUGGGUAGUUUGACUGGGGCGGUCUCCUCCCAAAGCGUAACGGAGGAGCACGAAGGUUAGCUAAUCCUGGUCGGACAUCAGGAGGUUAGUGCAAUGGCAUAAGCUAGCUUGACUGCGAGCGUGACGGCGCGAGCAGGUGCGAAAGCAGGUCAUAGUGAUCCGGUGGUUCUGAAUGGAAGGGCCAUCGCUCAACGGAUAAAAGGUACUCCGGGGAUAACAGGCUGAUACCGCCCAAGAGUUCAUAUCGACGGCGGUGUUUGGCACCUCGAUGUCGGCUCAUCACAUCCUGGGGCUGAAGUAGGUCCCAAGGGUAUGGCUGUUCGCCAUUUAAAGUGGUACGCGAGCUGGGUUUAGAACGUCGUGAGACAGUUCGGUCCCUAUCUGCCGUGGGCGCUGGAGAAUUGAGGGGGGCUGCUCCUAGUACGAGAGGACCGGAGUGGACGCAUCACUGGUGUUCGGGUUGUCAUGCCAAUGGCACUGCCCGGUAGCUAAAUGCGGAAGAGAUAAGUGCUGAAAGCAUCUAAGCACGAAACUUGCCCCGAGAUGAGUUCUCCCUGAGACUUUAAGUCUCCUGAAGGAACGUUGAAGACGACGACGUUGAUAGGCCGGGUGUGUAAGCGCAGCGAUGCGUUGAGCUAACCGGUACUAAUGAACCGUGAGGCUUAACCUU